rnacentral:lncRNA from 1 species
UUCUCCUGAUUGGAAAAGUUGUUCCCAUGCUGACUUCAAUCAAGAGUUGAUUGUCGAAUAGUUCCUCUAGAAAGACCAAAGAAAAGCAUCUUGAAUAAAGAUCUGUGAAGAUAGAUCUAAUAAGAUGCUAGAUUUUUCAUAGGUAAAGUACAUAAAGAAGAUGCUGAAGGGUUCAGUAUGGAAACUCUAUGAGGAGAUUUCAACCCCUUAGACAAGGCAUAUAUCUCCCCA